UGAAGUCCACAAAGACUAUCAAUCGUAGUUGACUCAUAGUUUUAAUCACAAUUAACAAAAUUAUUCCAACAUUUGUUUUCAAUUGUUCAAAGAUGUGUGCAGGUUGCAUUUGCAGUGCUAUGUGCUGCUGCCUUAAAUGGGGCCUUAAAAUGACAUUGCUGCUGCUCUGCUGCGCAAUCGGAGUCCUCUUCAUCUUGACAGCUAUUAUCUAUUUUGCAUUCUUUUACAAAAUGGGUGACGAAGAGAAGGCUGCAAAGGCAUUCGCAGGAUUUAUUUACAAAAAGGGGUUCGUGACUGAUAUAUACGCGGAAAAAAUUGGAAAUUGAGCUGUUUUAGGAAGAAUAACUAAAGUGCGUCAAAUCUGCGAAUCGAGUUCUGGAACACAAGUAAGCCUGAGCCCAAGCCAAAUAAUCUGAGUCUAGUUCUGGCUCUAAUCUGUUUUAAAUGUUGAUUGGGAAUAUAUAAAUUGUACAUGUGUCUUUUAAUUGCAUUAA